rnacentral:lncRNA from 1 species
UGUCCAUUAGGAGAUAUCCUCUUCAUCUGACGAGGAUUAUAACCUCUCUUGCUUUUGCUAAUGUUACUAGCUUGUAUCUUAUUUUGUGACCUAUAUGUAUACUUUUAUGUAUUAGGACUGGUGUAACUCUUGAUGUAUUUUGUCUGAUGUAGCACGAUGUAUUUAUGAUUGAUUUUACUUUAGACCUAUCUAUUUUACUUAUGGAUGCCUCU